AGGAAUACUUUGCCUUGCUACCUUGUGCUCAUUGGACCUCAAAUAGAAUAAGAAAUAGCAGAAAAAGGUGCCAAUUUGACUGUCUCAAAAGUCAAAUUUUUUCACAUCAUUAUGUUUAGCAUGGUUUAAUACUAACAUUUACUAUGUUGAAUAUUUUUUAUCAAGUCAUUUGUGCAUACAUAAUCACUACUAUGUGUUUAGAUGCAUUUCGUGCAAUAACUCAC
rnacentral:lncRNA from 1 species